rnacentral:tRNA from 1 species
AGCAGCAUGGCUCAGUGGAAAGAGUACAGGCUUGGGAGUCAGAGGACCUGGGUUCUAAUCCCAGCUCUGCCA